AUUGAACGCUGGCGGCAGGCCUAACACAUGCAAGUCGAACGAGUGGCGGACGGGUGAGUAAUGUAUGGGCAACUGCCUGAUGGAGGGGGAUAACUACUGGAAACGGUAGCUAAUACCGCAUACCAUCGGAUGUGCCCAGAUGGGAUUAGCUAGUAGGUGGGGUAAAGGCUCACCUAGGCGACGAUCCCUAGCUGGUCUGAGAGGCUGACCGGCCACACGGGAACGAGGACACGGGCCAGACUCCUACGGGAGGCAGCAGUGGGGAAUAUUGCACAAUGGGCGCAAGCCUGACGCAGCCAGGCCGGGUGUAUGAAGAAGUCCUGCGGUUUGUAAAGUAUUUUCAGCGGGGAGGCGUUACCCGCAGAAGAAGCACCGGCUAACUCCGUGCCAGCAGCCGCGUAAUUC
rnacentral:rRNA from 1 species